GUGAAUCAUCGAAUUUUUGAACGCAAAUUGCGCUUCCUGGUAUCCCGGGGAGUAUGCCUGUUUGAGGGUCAGUAUUAACAAAAAAUCGGUUAGGUUGCAAAUUGUGACGUUUCCGGAGGUUGGGUUGAGCUUAAGUUUUUUGGUUAAGGGGCUUAAAAUUGACCUUUUUUGCGUCUUGUUAGACGUACAUAAAUUUUUUUUUAUUCGUCUAUUUUU
rnacentral:misc_RNA from 1 species